UACGAAGGGGGCUAGCGUUGCUCGGAAUCACUGGGCGUAAAGGGCGCGUAGGCGGCCUUUUAAGUCGGAGGUGAAAGCCCAGGGCUCAACCCUGGAAUUGCCUUCGAUACUGGGAGUCUUGAGUUCGGAAGAGGUUGGUGGAACUGCGGGUGUAGAGGUGAAAUUCGUAGAUAUUCGCAAGAACACCGGUGGCGAAGGCGGCCCACUGGUCCGAAACUGACGCUGAGGCGCGAAAGCGUGGGGAGCAAACAGG
rnacentral:rRNA from 1 species